GGCUCAGGAUGAACGCUAGCGACAGGCUUAACACAUGCAAGUCGAGGGGCAUCACGGGAGUAGCAAUACAACUGGUGGCGACCGGCGCACGGGUGAGUAACGCGUAUGCAACCUACCUAUCAGAGGGGAAUAACCCGGCGAAAGUCGGACUAAUACCGCAUAAAACAGGGGCACCGCAUGGUGAUAUUUGUUAAAGAAAUUCGCUGAUAGAUGGGCAUGCGUUCCAUUAGGUAGUUGGUGAGGUAACGGCUCACCAAGCCGACGAUGGAUAGGGGAACUGAGAGGUUGGUCCCCCACACUGGUACUGAGACACGGACCAGACUCCUACGGGAGGCAGCAGUGAGGAAUAUUGGUCAAUGGGCGGGAGCCUGAACCAGCCAAGUCGCGUGAAAGGGAAGAAGGAUCUAUGGUUCGUAAACUUCUUUUGCAGGGGAAUAAAGUGCAGGACGUGUCCUGUUUUGUAUGUACCCUGAGAAUAAGGAUCGGCUAACUCCGUGCCAGCAGCGGC
rnacentral:rRNA from 1 species